UUACUUCUCUGCAAACUCAAACACGUAAAAGAAAUUGAUUUACAUACUUUACUUUUGAUUGAUUUUUUGUUUUGCAUUUGUAAUCUGGAAGUCCAAAGAGGGUCUUGCAUUCUCUGAGUCUCUGCUGAGAAUUAUCAGGUCCUGUCUGGAAAAAUGAGGUCAACAGUCUAUCAGGGCAGAUGAGCGAGUUCGUCUGGAAGAACUGUGUGGGAAGGUUCAAGAUGGGAGGAGGAGUCUCAAACAAUUGUCGCUGCCAGAUUAAGAGAGGAUGCUUCAGUAGUCACUUGAACUUGAUGACAGUUCAAAUGUGAUCAGGGAGAGGUUGCUGCAUGAGAGAAGGAAACCAUUUAUGCGGAGCUGUUCUUUGCACAGAAGCCUGAUCCAUCUUUUGAUAAUGAUGAAGAUAUUAUGUUUGAAAAAAGUAAUUACAGAAAUAAACAAUAUCGCCUUGAAUGAUGAUUAGAGUGUUGAAUUUGAAGUGGCUGAUGAUGAUAACCAUGUCUUAAAUCACAAGUCUCCUAGAGGCAUGGAAAUAUAUUUUGAGAAACUUCUCCAGGUGCAAAACUCAGAGCAAGGUACUGCAGAGGUCAAAAUUUUUGUCAGGAGAUUCAGAAAAAUCUUCACAACUUCACAACAAGGUAUCUUUUAGUCCAGGAGAUCCUUUGCUUGGGACCAGGUUUCAAGUUGUUAAUCCUUACAUCUAUGUAAAUGGGAUUGAAAUUCUGUUUGACUGUUAAACAUGAAGUUGUCAGUAUAAGUUUGCCAUAAAUAAUUUGGAAAAGAGGACUGCUUCUUCCCAAA